GAUGAACGCUGGCGGCGUGCCUAAUACAUGCCAGUCGAGCGAACGGACGAGAAGCUUGCUUCUCUGAUGUUAGCGGCGGACGGGUGAGUAACACGUGGAUAACCUACCUAUAAGACUGGGAUAACUUCGGGAAACCGGAGCUAAUACCGGAUGAUAUUUUGAACCGCAUGGUUCAAAAGUGAAAGACGGUCUUGCUGUCACUUAUAGAUGGAUCCGCGCUGCAUUAGCUAGUUGGUAAGGUAACGGCUUACCAAGGCAACGAUGCAUAGCCGACCUGAGAGGGUGAUCGGCCACACUGGAACUGAGACACGGUCCAGACUCCUACGGGAGGCAGCAGUAGGGAAUCUUCCGCAAUGGGCGAAAGCCUGACGGAGCAACGCCGCGUGAGUGAUGAAGGUCUUCGGAUCGUAAAACCCUGUUAUUAGGGAAGAACAUAUGUGUAAGUAACUGUGCACAUCUUGACGGUACCUAAUCAGAAAGCCACGGCUAACUACGUG
rnacentral:rRNA from 1 species